GAUGAACGCUAGCGGCAGGCUUAACACAUGCAAGUCGAGGGGUAGUUACUUUCGGGUAAUGAGACCGGCGCACGGGUGCGUAACGCGUAUGCAAUCUACCUUUUACAGGGGAAUAGCCCAGAGAAAUUUGGAUUAAUGCCCCAUAGUAUGUAUGAAUCGCAUGGUUUAUACCAUUAAAGUUCCAACGGUAAAGAUGAGCAUGCGUCCCAUUAGCUAGUUGGUAAGGUAACGGCUUACCAAGGCGACGAUGGGUAGGGGUCCUGAGAGGGAGAUCCCCCACACUGGUACUGAGACACGGACCAGACUCCUACGGGAGGCAGCAGUGAGGAAUAUUGGACAAUGGGCGCAAGCCUGAUCCAGCCAUGCCGCGUGCAGGAUGAAGCAUCUAUGGUGUGUAAACUGCUUUUGUACGAGAAGAAACACUCCAACGUGUUGGAGCUUGACGGUAUCGUAAGAAUAAGGAUCGGCUAACUCCGUGCCAGC
rnacentral:rRNA from 1 species